UCUGUUUCUUGUUUGGUCGACCUGGAUUACGUCUUGUCCCCUCUGCUUCGGGACGAAACGGGUCGUUAAACUCUGGCAAGAGUUUUAACUGACAAACAACGCACACAUUUUCAGAAGUGAUUAAUGGAGCAUUGGAUGAAUUCUUCCCGCCUGACAGUGGGGUGCAGAUUAUUGCAGAGCCAGGCCGGUACUACGUGGAAUCAGCCUUCACACUGGCAGCAAACGUCAUUGCCAAAAGAAUAGUCAGUGAUGAUGUGGAUGAACAAAGUGACGGUGAGGAAAACAGCCCUGGCAGAAUGAUGACGUACUACCUUAAUGAAGGAGUGUUUGGCUCCCUGAGUUGCAUUGUCCAUGACCCUGCUCACUCCAACUAUGAGCCAUAUCUUCACAGGGCUGGAGGCAAUUCCAGGUGCAACUCCCAAUGCACUUUUGUUUGCAGAGUAAAGUUGAAGCUCCAAAGGAACAUGUUAGACCGUUUCCCUGCAGGGAGAUCAGGAGCUAAAACCUAAGUGUUGCUCCUCCAAAAGGCCUCAGGCGAUACUUUAACUACAGUCUGCAAACACUGUGGACACACAGCACUCGUUUCAAAUGCCAACACGCUGCUGGCAAAACGGUUAAGGAUGGAAGCUUGGGUUGCAUCGCUUAGGCCUAAUUGAACGGAUGAAUGAUGGUAUUCUUCGGUAGCCUGAGUUACUUUAACCGUUGUUCAUGUGAAAUCUCAAAGACAGCCUGAUGCUUUGUUUAUAGACUAUUUGUGGCUGGCUGUUUGACCCAUCAAUUCCUGUCGAUAAAGUAUAAUAGGGUAAAUGCUGUAUAGUGCAUACACUUGUAGAAAGCUGAAAGCUGCUACCAGCCAAGCUAAAGCUAACAUAGUUAGCCUAAAGAAACAAGGCGUCUGUCCCAACAAAUGUUACGGUUCGGAGCCGUGACGCUGGAAACGUAACACCAAUCUACAACAGCAGUCUGGGUCUGAUAUAAGGUAAUCUAGACUGAUUGAAGUGUUCUUGGAUACACAGUUUGUUGCUACUACUGCAUUACAUGCACAGCCAACCACCAAUCACGAUCAAUGUUGCAACCUAAACUUUAGAGUAAGCAAU